UACAGAGGGUGCGAGCGUUAAUCGGAAUUACUGGGCGUAAAGCGCGCGCAGGCGGUCCUUUAAGUCAGGGGUGAAAGCCCAGAGCUCAACUCUGGAACUGCCUUUGAAACUAGAGGACUUGGGUACGGGAGAGGUGAGUGGAAUUCCGAGUGUAGAGGUGAAAUUCGUAGAUAUUCGGAAGAACACCAGUGGCGAAGGCGGCUCACUGGCCCGUUACCGACGCUCAGGCGCGACAGCGUGGGGAGCAAACAGG
rnacentral:rRNA from 1 species